UACGAAGGGGGCUAGCGUUGCUCGGAAUUACUGGGCGUAAGGGAGCGUAGGCGGGUUAUCAAGUUGGAGGUGAAAGCCCAGGGCUCAACCUUGGAAUUGCCUUCAAAACUGAUAGCCUAGAGUAUGAUAGAGGUAAGUGGAACUCCGAGUGUAGAGGUGAAAUUCGUAGAUAUUCGGAAGAACACCAGUGGCGAAGGCGACUUACUGGAUCAUGACUGACGCUGAGGCUCGAAAGCGUGGGGAGCAAACAGG
rnacentral:rRNA from 1 species